AUAUCUACCAAGCUCUGAAUAAUCUAUUUAGUUAUUCGUAGUCGUAGUCGGGUUGGGUUAAGAUUUAGGGCAUUCCCAAAUGAAGGUGGAUGGAACUUGGAAGCGAGACAAAUCCAUUUCAGGGUCAAUUCACCGUUUCAAACCCGAACAGCACGAACUCACGGUCCAAGCCCGCAAAUACCCAAAUUCCUAACGGGUCCAGGAUCUGGGUUGCCAAUUUGCUCUUGCGAUUGUUGACCCACCCGAUUUGUGUAACGGUUUCAGGAUUAUUGGAUCUAACCCAAUCGAGCAUCGGGUUUGGUUUUGGUUUCACUUCUUCCCCGAUUCGUGUCACAAUCCAUUCCUCAUAAACCCUAUUGGAGUAGAGUAUCCAAUCCGACUCCGCCGUUUUCCAAGGAAAAAAAAACUUCAAUAUCGACAAAUUUCUGUAAGACCCACUUCCAAUUAUGCUUCACUUUUGGUCCUACUCCGCCGUUUUAUGCUGCUUUUUAUGUUGGAUCUCUGUAUUUUCAUGUAAUCCAUGGCGUUUGUUGCCUGAUUUUUGUGUUCCUUCAUGAAUCUGUGUCACCUCUGCUGGAAACUUUGUCCGAUAUUUGUUUUUUCAUCAAAAUGUGAUUCUUCUUCCGUGGAUUUUUCCCUCCUACUCGAGAGAUUUUAGUUGUUUCUCUUGAUUUUGUUAUCCAUUUUCCUCGUGAUAAUGAUUGGAGAACAUGGGAAUUUUAGCUGUGAUCUCUGUUAUAUCGAUACUCUAUUAGGUGUUUGCUAAUAUGAACUGACUGCUUAAUUUCUUUUUACACUUACCAUAAACUGUUUCUUGAACAAUUUCUCAGUUCUUUUUCUAUCUCUCCGGAUAGAUGGAAAAGGGCAUUCUUAAGUAUUAACAGUUAUGAUGAGAUGAAGGGUUUGGCCCAAAAAUGAGAGAGUUUUAAGAUCUGAAGUGCAAUUUCUUCUUAACAUUCAAAAUAUUUUUUGAAGUCCAUCUUCAUUUGCUCAUUUAGUUCAUAGUUGAAUCGCUUACCAUUCUUUGAUUCUAUUGUAAAUUGUCAUUCUUUGAUUCUAUUGUAAAUUGUCAUCAAGAAUAGGUUCAUGUAUCAUGUAUCUCGUAUGUAUGUAUUAGCCAUUUAUUUGGUUCAUAACUUGAAUCAUCUUGAUUCAUGUAUGGCGUUAAUGCUUCCAUGCCUAUAUUAAGGGUUGUCUAGGAUGGUUGAGAUGCAUAGAGUUUGAGUGUCAUUUUGUAUUUGUUGAGUGUGUAUUUGUUGAGUGACAUUUAGGAGGAACUUUGUUGACAGACUUUCUAGUGUUAGAGUAUGAGAUAUGCACUUUGUAAACACUUUGAUUAUUGAGAUUAGUUGCUACUCGUGGAAGUAAGGGAAUUGCUUCUCUUCGAACCACGUAAACCUUUGUGUCUCUUUGUUUAAUUUCUAUUUGCGGGUGUGUGAGUGCGAUUGAUCUUGCUUCCGUUUCCGUUACAACACAUUCCUCGGUGUGUGGACUUUCCACUAGUUUAAUAAGUUUGAUCAGAACCAGUGUUUAAACACUGGCUAUUUCAACAUAUUAAAUUGGUGAAAAGUCCACACACCAAGGUACUCAAUCUUGUCAAUGAUGGCUCGUGAUGUUAUCGGGACUCCAAUGUCAAGCAUUGCACCCGAGUUGGCAUUUAGUACCAGUGGUCGAGUUCUCGACCGUGGUCAAAGAUUGGCUUUGUGUAGAACUAGAAGAUCCAAGGCCAUUGCCUAUCGCAUCUUAUGUGCCACUUCUGCUUGGACCCAAUUGUCAUCUAAAUAUCUUACUCAAUAUCUAUGCUCCAACCCCUCAUUCCA